rnacentral:rRNA from 1 species
GAUGAACGCUAGCGGCAGGCCUAAUACAUGCAAGUCGGACGGGAUUCAGGAGCUUGCUUCUGAUGAGAGUGGCGCACGGGUGCGUAACACGUAUGUAACCUACCUUUAUCAGGGGGAUAGCCUCUCGAAAGAGAGAUUAAGCCCGCAUAAAAUCACAGCACAGCAUUGUGUAAUGAUCAAAUAUCUAUAGGAUAAAGAUGGGCAUGCGGAACAUUAGCUAGAUGGCGGGGUAACGGCCCACCAUGGCGACGAUGUUUAGGGGAUCUGAGAGGAUGGCCCCCCACACUGGUACUAAGACACGGACCAGACUCCUACGGGAGGCAGCAGUAAGGAAUAUUGGUCAAGGGGCGGAAGCCUGAACCAGCCAUGCCGCGUGCAGGAAGACGGCCCUACGGGUUGUAAACUGCUUUUAUACGGGAAUAAACCCAGAUACGUGUAUCUGGCUGAAUGUACUGUAAGAAUAAGGAUCGGCUAACUCCGUG